rnacentral:rRNA from 1 species
AUUGAACGCUGGCGGCAGGCCUAACACAUGCAAGUCGAGCGGAUGAAGGGAGCUUGCUCCUGGAUUCAGCGGCGGACGGGUGAGUAAUGCCUAGGAAUCUGCCUGGUAGUGGGGGAUAACGUCCGGAAACGGGCGCUAAUACCGCAUACGCCCUGAGGGAGAAAGCGGGGGAUCUUCGGACCUCACGCUAUCAGAUGAGCCUAGGUCGGAUUAGCUAGUUGGUGGGGUAAAGGCCUACCAAGGCGACGAUCCGUAACUGGUCUGAGAGGAUGAUCAGUCACACUGGAACUGAGACACGGUCCAGACUCCUACGGGAGGCAGCAGUGGGGAAUAUUGGACAAUGGGCGAAAGCCUGAUCCAGCCAUGCCGCGUGUAUGAAGAAGGUCUUCGGAUUGUAAAGCACUUUAAGUUGGGAGGAAGGGCAGUAAGUUAAUACCUUGCUGUUUUGACGUUACCAACAGAAUAAGCACCGGCUAACUUCGUG